GUUUUGGAAUGUGUUUUUGUACUUACAUCUCAAUUACCGAUGGGGUAGAGGUGUUAGUGGAGAGAACCUGGUCUGAGAGCCGGGAUCUAGGGUUCUACGGGGCAGAGGUGUUAGUGGAGAGAGCCUGGUCUGAGAGCCGGGAUCUAGGGCUCUACGGGGUAGAGGUGUUAGUGGAGAGAGCCUGGUCUGAGAGCUGGGAUCUAGGGUUCUACGGGGC